CAAUAGCGUAUAUUAAAGUUGUUGCAGUUAAAAAGCUCGUAGUUGGAUUUCUGGUAGGAGUGACCGUUCCGAACUUGAUUGUUCGUGUAUUGUGUUUUCUCCAGCCAUCCUUGUGGAGAACUUUUCUUGCAUUAAUUUGUAGGGAUUGGGACCCGCAUCGUUUACUGUGAAAAAAUUAGAGUGUUUAAAGCAGGCAAUCGCUUGAAUACAUUAGCAUGGAAUAAUAAGAUAGGACUUUGGUACUAUUUUGUUGGUUUGCAUACCAAAUUAAUGAUCAACAGGAACAGUUUGAGGAUAUUCGUAUGAACAUGUCAGAGGUGAAAUUCUUGGAUUUUGAUCAGACGAACUACUGCGAAANCANNNAUCAAGGAUGUUUUCAUNAA
rnacentral:rRNA from 1 species